GGAAGAGGACGGACCUAAGAUGGCGGCCUCCAGGGGGCUGGGAAUAGCCGCUCAUGUCGGCUAACGGAGCGGUGUGGGGCCGCGUGCGAAGCCGCCAAGAAGACGCUGGAGGGAGGCUGUUAGGAGGGACUCUGAGCUUCACACCUGUCUGCUGCCAUGGGUGCAGAGCCCUAGUCCUGAUGGCCCCUGGUGGCACAUAUCGAAUGCCUAGGGCAGAAAGGAAGUGGGAAUGGCGAAGAUGUGACAUUCCUCGGUGUUAGAUCCUGUUUUUUCUUAACAAGUUGAGGCGUGGGUAGAGCAGGAAUUGGUUUUCCAGCAUUGUGUCCGUAAACCUGAGUUAGAAUAAGAUGUAACGGAAGCCACGAUAAAGACUCGGUCAAAUCCUGCAGCCUGGGGCUUACUGUG
rnacentral:lncRNA from 1 species